CACAGUUCAGAAAACUUGUUUAAUAAACUUAUGUAUAUUUUUUCAUAACUAACAUGGUAUUUCUUUGCUUUUGUUUUCAGUUAGUAAAGUGGCAAGUGAUGCGAGUUGAAAUAUUGCUGAAUUUUAUGGUUACUGUAAGUAAUGCUGAUUAGUAUACUAGUGGCAAGUGAUGUGGAUUGAACUGAUGCUGAAUUCUAUGGUUGCUGUAGGUGAUGCUGAUUAAACUGUCCCUGGAUUACAAGGGUAAGCGUGUUGUAAUGGAUCUUUGUACAUUUUUUCAUUACCUAUUCAGUAUUCAGUGUUUCAUUUUGUUUGCUUUGUUUUUAGUUGAGGUGGUAAAUUAUGUAAGGAACAAACCGUCUUUGGAUUCAAAGGGUACGUGAUGAACCUUGAUGGAAA